CCUUCCGGCGAGGGCAAGCAGCUGACGAGCCAGCUCCUGGACAAGUACAGCGGCUACCUGAGAAGCCUCUGGAGGGAGCUCUCCGGGAAGAAGAAGAAGAGCGGCAGGCUGCCGAGGGAGGCGCGCCAGAGGCUCCUGCACUGGUGGCAUCUGCACCACGGAUGGCCCUACCCAUCGGAACCGGAGAAGCUGGCGUUGGCGGAGUCGACGGGGCUCGACACGAGGCAGAUCAACAACUGGUUCAUCAACCAGAGGAAGCGGCACUGGAGGCCGGCGCCGCCGGCGAUGGGUAGCAGGUUGCAGCACAUCGACGCCGGUGCUUCCAGCAGCAGCUCUCCUGCCGUCCUUGGGAUGGAAGGCCAGCAAUUCACCGGACGGAGUGGGUAUCCCGACGGUGGUCCGUUUUGA
rnacentral:rRNA from 1 species